CCCUUAGAUGUUCUGGGCCGCACGCGUGCUACACUGAGUCAAUCAAUGGGUAAGGGAACACGAAAGUGCAACCUAAUCUUCAAAUUUGCUCGUGAUGGGGAUCGACGGUUGCAAUUUUCCGUCGUGAACGAGGAAUACCUUGUAGGCGCGUGUCAUCAUCACGCGCCGAAUACGUCCCUGCCCUUUGUACACACCGCCCGUCGCUCCUACCGAUUGAGUGAUCCGGUGAGGCUCUGGGACCUGGACGGAAAGAGCGUUUCGCUUGUUCUGUUUGGGAAACUUGGUCGAACCUUAUCAUUUAGAGGAAGGAGAAGGCGUAACA
rnacentral:rRNA from 1 species